rnacentral:rRNA from 1 species
UUCGGGUUGUAAAGCACUUUCAGUCGUGAGGAAGGUAGUGUAGUUAUAGCUGCAUUAUUUGACGUUUAGCGACAGAAGAAGCACCGGCUAACUCCGUGCCAGCAGCCGCGGUAAUACGGAGGGUGCGAGCGUUAAUCGGAAUUACUGGGCGUAAAGCGCAUGCAGGUGGUUUGUUAAGUUCAGAUGUGAAAGCCCGGGGCUCAACCUCGGAAUAGCAUUUGAAACUGGCAGACUAGAGUACUGUAGAGGGGGGUAGGAAGUUUCAGGUGUAGCGGUGAAAUGCGUAGAGAUCUGAAGGAAUACCGAUGGCGAAGGCGGCCCCCUCGGACAGAUACUGACACUCAGAUGCGAAAGCGUGGGGAGCAAACAGGAUUAGAUACCCUGGUAG